AUUGAACGCUGGCGGCAUGCCUUACACAUGCCAGUCGAACGGCAGCACGGGUGCUUGCACCUGGUGGCGAGUGGCGAACGGGUGAGUAAUACAUCGGAACAUGUCCUGUAGUGGGGGAUAGCCCGGCGAAAGCCGGAUUAAUACCGCAUACGAUCUACGGAUGAAAGCGGGGGACCUUCGGGCCUCGCGCUAUAGGGUUGGCCGAUGGCUGAUUAGCUAGUUGGUGGGGUAAAGGCCUACCAAGGCGACGAUCAGUAGCUGGUCUGAGAGGACGACCAGCCACACUGGGACUGAGACACGGCCCAGACUCCUACGGGAGGCAGCAGUGGAGAAUUUUGGACAAUGGGCGAAAGCCUGAUCCAGCAAUGCCGCGUGUGUGAAGAAGGCCUUCGGGUUGUAAAGCACUUUUGUCCGGAAAGAAAUCCUUGGCCCUAAUACGGUCGGGGGAUGACGGUACCGGAAGAAUAAGCACCGGCUAACUACGUG
rnacentral:rRNA from 1 species